CAGAGUGCAAUAUGUGGAUGUCUAGUACAGUACAUUGUGAGAGAAGACAGUAAAUUUAUGACAGUGAAUGUGAAGAGUAUGCCACUAUGAAAAUGACGGUCUUCUUACUGGCUUUUUCUGUUGCUCAGUGAUCUCAUUAGCUACAGUAUACUGGUACAACCAGGCAGCCAGUCAAUUAAUCAAACAGUUUUCUUAAGUAAAAUAUCUUUAACUUAAAAUGGAAACAUUUUCCAUUGAUUUUGUACAUUAAUGUCAUCUCUAAACAUUGCUUCACAUUAAAAAAAUGCAGCUAAACUGCAUCACUCAACACUUUUACUCCAAAAACAGGUUUGUGCUCAAAUAAGUUAUUACUAAGUUGAUAUAUUUGCUCUUUAUCUUUAUGAUGACAGUCUUAUCUAGACAUGUUGUAACUUUCUUAUUAAAGCUCUCUUCUCAGGAACUAAAUUUUGAACCUCAGUCCCAAUGAACUUAACAUGGGAAUGACUGAAGACAAUCUUUCAUACCCUGAGUUAAAAAAUAAGGGAAAACUACAUAACCAAAAUCGCUAUCCACCAUUUUUGUAAGAUGUAGAAGUAAGACACAAAAGUGUCUCUACUACAGUGACCCUUUUCCGUCAAAUCGGACACAAUAUUUGUCUAAAGUUUGUGAAUGCAUACACAGAGGUUUUGUGGUAGUUGACUUGUAUUUACCUAAAAUUUAGAAUUUUUAAAAAUUAUUUUGUUUAUUUAUUUAUUGGCAGUAGAAAUAGGCAAUUUAGUUAUUUUAUGUAAAGCACUUUGUAGAUAAAGUUAAUGACACUGAGAGGCAGGCACACAGUUAUGAUUUUGUUUUUUUAAAUUACAGGACGCACAUGGGCAACAUUAUAAACUUCUCCUGUCGGCUACAAGAUUUAUAGAAUUUGAAACAAGCUUAAGGUGAUAAAACUAACGAUUGGUAGACAAACAAUCUUGUCAAGAAUUUCAAAAUCAAACUUGAUCAGAUGUUCGGAUGUGUCUCACUUUUUAGUACUGCCUGUCCGGAAAUAUUACUCAUCUUUUGUUCAGCACAAAAUACGUCACUGACAAACAACUUGACAGUGUUACUGAUUGGAAUUACAAUCAAUGCAGAUGGGAGUGAUGGACUCUAGGGGGACCCCCAGCACCACAUUUAAAGACUUGCAUAAAAAAAAAACCGCAAAGGAUUACAUCAUACAAUCCAGUGACACUCCCACCUGCAGCUCUUUAUAUCCGUGUAUCAAUUCUGGCAGUUUGUGUCUCACAGAACAUGGAUAUCAUCGUCACUAAACAAGACCUCCUCAGAUUGUCCGUCUUUGCGCUUUGGACUGCAGGACUAAUUGAUGGGAGUGAUGUCACCCAGACUGACAUACUGUGGAAAGACGAGGGUGAAGAUGCAACAAUCAACUGCAGCCACACAAAGGAUGGCAACUAUUACCAGAUGUACUGGUACAGACAGCUGCCAGGACAAACAAUGAAACUAAUCGUGUUCACAACAACCACCAGCAAAGAUCACGACUUUGGAGAUUUCAGUAAUGAGAAAUUCUCAGCCACCAAGCCUGACGCUCACAGUGGGACAUUCACAGUGAAGAAUCUGGUGCCAGAAGAUAAAGGCUUGUAUUUCUGUGCUGUGCUGAGCUGAAAGGAAAGCUAACGCUAGAGUCUGACUAUUAAAUGUCUUUACUAUGAUAUCUACGGUCUUUAUAUUGUGUUUCCUUCAUCUGCCGGAAAUAAGGGUGAGUAUUCCAACAGAGUAAGACACUGCACAGCUAAUGCUUAAUGAGUGUUUGAAAUCGUGUCUGCUUUUUCCACAGGUGCCUCUAACAGCAACAGUGUCCUCCAAACACCUUCUUUCAUCAUUAAGAGAACCGAUCAAUCUGUUGACAGUGGGAUCAGCUGUUCACACAGCAUAACAAGUUAUCAGCAG